rnacentral:rRNA from 1 species
GACGAACGCUGGCGGCGUGCUUAACACAUGCGAGUCGAACGGAAAGGCCCUGCUUUUGUGGGGUGCUCGAGUGGCGAACGGGUGAGUAACACGUGAGUAACCUGCCCUUGACUUUGGGAUAACUUCAGGAAACUGGGGCUAAUACCGGAUAGGAGCUCCUGCUGCAUGGUGGGGGUUGGAAAGUUUCGGCGGUUGGGGAUGGACUCGCGGCUUAUCAGCUUGUUGGUGGGGUAGUGGCUUACCAAGGCUUUGACGGGUAGCCGGCCUGAGAGGGUGACCGGCCACAUUGGGACUGAGGUACGGCCCAGACUCCUACGGGAGGCAGCAGUGGGGAAUAUUGCACAAUGGGCGGAAGCCUGAUGCAGCAGCGCCGCGUGCGGGAUGACGGCCUUCGGGUUGUAAACCGCUUUCGCCUGUGACGAAGCGUGAGUGACGGUAAUGGGUAAAGAAGCACCGGCUAACUACGUG